AAAUCAGGGGACGCAAGCCAGUAAGAAACAUGCCUCCAUGGCCUCUGCAUCAGCUCCUGCUUCCUGACCUGCUGGAGUUCCAGUCCUGACUUCCUUUGGUGAUGAACAGCAAUGUGGAAGUGAAGAAAGUAUUUUAGUGGAGCCCACAGGUUGAGAAGGCUUUCAAGACAAUCUCACCUGCCAUUGACUACCAACUUCUACUAGAGAAGAUGUUGGAGCAUAAACUUAGGAGACUCUGCUUUGACAUCUGUAAAAGCUCAGAUGAUUCCUCUCAAAAGAACAGAAAAGAUAACAUCACACAAAGCAGCUGUCAAUUCCCAAAUAUGUCUCUGCAGAUGUCCAGAACCAGCCCUCCAAAUGCCCACUGUCAUUUCCUUUUGUCCAAUAUUGGAUUGAUUACCAGACCAGUCCAUGACUGAGUUAUAAUAAACAGUCACAUUAAAGGAUAGAGGGGAGUCAUCAUAACAACUUCUCCAUUUGAUGAAUUUGUUGAAGGCAAGUUCCACAGUCUUUAUAUUCUCUGCCCCACAAGGUCUAAAAGCCUGAGGCAGCUCAUCCAGUCUGAGAUAUAGGCAUUCCCAUAUUAACGCUUUGCAUUACAGUUUUAGAGAUAUUCUUACUCCAAAUCUGAGGGUCCACAGAAAAGCAUCCAUAAUUUGUACUAUUUUCCAUCAUUUGUACUAUUUCUAGUAAAAACAAAUAGCUAGUCCCUGACUCAUAGCAGUGUAAUUCACCAAUCUGACAUACUUUUUACUCUCAGACCAAGGAAAUUCGAACAGCUGAGUAUUAUUAGAGGUCACAAGUACUUCUGGCCUUGACCAUACAGAAGGAUGUAGCAAAGGUGGAUCAGGAACAUAUGCCCAGUACAACUUCCCUGUCACCAUCAGCAGA
rnacentral:lncRNA from 1 species